rnacentral:lncRNA from 1 species
GGGUUUCACUUUGCCUGAGAGAAUCCAUCGGUCUCCUCCUCUUCCCCGAGAGCUCUAGCCUCCUUUGGCAUCCUUCUCAACCUUAGGCAUCCUCCGGGUCGACUUCCAUCGUCUUUGCCAUCUUCCUGUACUCCUCGAGCCAACCUAGGUUAGUUCUGAAACUUCUCAUCGUUUUUUUGUUCUUUCUUCUUCAUAUUCCGUUCGUUUAGCUUCCUCAAGAGCUUGUUUGUUGUUUUUCCCGAUUUUUUUUUUCGAAAUUUUUUGUGGCUUCCAUUUGAUCCAAAAUAUCUUUCGAUAUCUCCUCUUCUAGUGGUUCUAGGAGUUCAUCAGCCCCAGUUCCUCAAAGUCCUUGUACCGUAGAUGAAUCCGUAGUUAGGACCGAACCUCGUCUGGUCUUUGCAUCGGACACC